GCAAGUCGAGCGAACGGACGAGAAGCUUGCUUCUCUGAUGUUAGCGGCGGACGGGUGAGUAACACGUGGAUAACCUACCUAUAAGACUGGGAUAACUUCGGGAAACCGGAGCUAAUACCGGAUAAUAUUUUGAACCGCAUGGUUCAAAAGUAAAAGACGGUCUUGCUGUCACUUAUAGAUGGAUCCGCGCUGCAUUAGCUAGUUGGUAAGGUAACGGCUUACCAAGGCAACGAUGCAUAGCCGACCUGAGAGGGUGAUCGGCCACACUGGAACUGAGACACGGUCCAGACUCCUACGGGAGGCAGCAGUAGGGAAUCUUCCGCAAUGGGCGAAAGCCUGACGGAGCAACGCCGCGUGAGUGAUGAAGGUCUUCGGAUCGUAAAACUCUGUUAUUAGGGAAGAACAUAUGUGUAAGUAACUGUGCACAUCUUGACGGUACCUAAUCAGAAAGCCACGGCUAACUACGUGCCAGCAGCCGCGGUAAUACGUAGGUGGCAAGCGUUAUCCGGAAUUAUUGGGCGUAAAGCGCGCGUAGGCGGUUUUUUAAGUCUGAUGUGAAAGCCCACGGCUCAACCGUGGAGGGUCAUUGGAAACUGGAAAACUUGAGUGCGGAAGAGGAAAGUGGAAUUCCAUGUGUAGCGGUGAAAUGCGCAGAGAUAUGGAGGAACACCAGUGGCGAAGGCGACUUUCUGGUCUGUAACUGACGCUGAUGUGCGAAAG
rnacentral:rRNA from 1 species